rnacentral:RNase_P_RNA from 1 species
AAAGUCGGUUGUGUAAUCGCGGGAACGCUAUUAAAGGCGUUAAUGAGGAAAGUCCGAGCAUCGUAGAGCAGGGCGCCGGAGAAAUCCCGGUGGGGGUGACCCUAAGGAAAGUGCAACAGAAAUAUACCGCCAUUUAUUUGGUAAGGAUGGAAAGGCGAGGUAAGAGCUCACCGUCCCUACGGUAACGCAGGGAGCCAUGUAAACCCCGUCCGAUGCAAGAUUGACAAAAUACCCACGUGGGUUGCUCGCCCGGGUAUUUUAUUAAAACAUCGCUGGAGGCAUACGGAGACGUUUGUCGUAGAUAAAUGAUUACACUAGACAGAACUCGGCUUAUAGACCGACUUUGCGG